CAUCUGCAGAGUGAGGCGUCAGUGCAGGGCGGCCAUUGUGAGGUCAAGCCAGAGGGGAUUGUGACCAGACGGGCGUGUUCGCCUGGCACAUCGGUCUGGUGAUCUCUCAAGUCUUCAUCAGGAUAAAGCAUCUCAGCAUCCAUACAAGAAACACUGGGAAAACACAAUCUGUCCUUGAUGAUAACAAAAGGGACAAAAUGGCAAACACUGACUGGAAAUGGCAGAACAUCCAGCUUACUUAGGGUGUGUUACUGUUAGUCAGUUAGUCUUUAGAAGCUGUCAAGCCUCUUGGAAACCCAGACCUCGGGGACUGAGCCUGUGGCUCGGUGGGGGCUUGCUCAGCUUAGUUAGAUGGGUUUGCUGGAUGUUAAUGCUUAAAUCAAUUUUCAGGUUUACUCU